CUCCCACAGGCACGUUCCAGCCCUGGCCUAGAUGGGUGCAAUUCACAUUCAGAGCAGCUGAAGCCAUGCCAGCCUGUUUGGGGCUGGCCCCGCUCCUGCAGAUCUGCUCCAGAGUGCUGUUCUCAGCCUGUCAGUGCAAAGAGCACAUGGGCUUUUGGGAUGGGAGAGAGGAGCUGGCUCUGUGACAACUGGGAGCAUGUGGGGAUAUGCAUUUGUGUAUCAGUUAAAGCCAAACACAUGGAAUAAAUGAACUCUGACUUGAGUGGGGUUUUUUUUCCCAGAAACCUAUGAGUUUUCUAGGCAAAACUUUUCUGAUCAUGUUCAAAUGCAGGUACCUCACAUCUGCUGUGCUCUCGUCCUUUAGUACAGUCAGCUGGAAUCCCAGUGCAGAGCUCUGUUGCUAUAGGGUCGUUCCACUGUGAAGCCGUUUCCAAUAGUUUAAAAUUAGUUACAGAUUUAUAAACAAUCACAUAUUUAUGUAAGGAGAGGGAUAUAUAUAUUUUUUUUUAAAUAAGCAUUUAAUAAGACACUUGGAAUAUGAACUGGCCGUGUUUGAGGAUUUUGUUCAUUUUUAUGGUGUUUCUGCCCAUUUAUUUUAUGGGAUCCGGGGAGUGCAAGCUAAAAAUGAGGGCUUAUAAGAGGUUAUAAAAGAACAGAAUGGUCGUAUUUUUCGUGGCAGUUUGAACAGGCUGAAAAAAUAACAGCAGCACUUUUUAUUCGCAUUUUAGCCAACAGUUUUCAGCCAAAGGUAGAAAUAAAAGCACACACACCCCAGCCUGAUCUUGCUGAGCAUUGCUUUUCCUUGCGCUGGGCUGACUGCCCUCUCCCAGCUGUUGCACAAGCCUGAAGCCCACGUUAGCCAACCCCAGUGUUGGUCAGCUGUCCCAACACUGCUGUACAGAUGCACGUGGCACUUCUGUCCACCAGAUUCAGGUUGGAUAAUGGGAAAAGUCUCCUCUCAGAAAGAGCGGUGAGGCAUUGGCACAGCUGCCCGGGGAGGUGGGGGUGUCACUGUCCCCAGGGGUGUUCAAGAACCGUGGAGAUGUGGCACUGAAAGACGUGGUCAGUGGGCAUGGUGGGAUGGGCGGAUGGUUGGACUGGGUGAUCUUAGAGGUCCUUUCCAGCCUUCAUGAUCCCAUGCUUCUGUGAUGUUCAGGUCUUCAGCAGGCAACCCAAGAACAAAGAAAACCCACAUCUAUUGGCCACCUGGGGACGCAGGGGUCUCUGUGGCCCAGACACAGACGUGCACAAACUGGGAGGACCCCACUGUCACCGAGGGCUGAGCUCCCAGGCAGGCCAAUGCUCAGGCUCCUCACGUGCAGUCGGUCACACAUCUCACACGGCAAAGUGCCGAAAGCAAGAGAAACAACUCAUUGUGAGCCUCCUGUCUGUAGUCAGGCCUGCCCUCUUGUUUGCAAACAGGGUUAUCGGUGCCACUAGGAGCCAUUCCCCUGAUGCGGCUGGAAACAAAGGCUCCCUUUUCAGGGCUGUUUAUCCAAAGCAAAGAAGGAUGCGGGAGGAGGUGGGGAAGGCAGAGGCAGGGCAUCCCCCAGGCAGGUCACCCCAAGGGAGAUGAGGUGCCUUUGGGCUCGGAGGGCUGGAGAGCAACAGCCCCAUCUCAGCUCGCCCCACCAGCUCUCCCCUCCCACCACGCCUUGUCACAGCACCUGGUGGCACAGAAUGUAUUUGUCACAGUACAUGUGGGGGCAGGGGAGAGGUUUUGCAGGCUUGUUUUUCCCAGGAUAGCAUUAGAAAGCUGCUUCCUCCCUCUUAGGGCCCCGCGUCUGCUCCAUGUGAGCUAAGCAGGAGGUGGGCUCCGAACAGACCCUAUGGAAAUCCACCAACGGGUGUGUUAGACCAUGCCAGGACACUUAAUAAAGCAGGAGAGACAGCAGUGAACAUGACAUUUAAUUAUGGGAAAGAAAAACAAAGUCUUUUGCCCUGCAUUUGGCGCUCUCCCAACACCCGGAGUUCAUUGUUAGGAGGGUACAUUAGGAGGCAACGAAGGAGAAGAUUGAAAACCCUGAUUAAGCCAAGUUCCUGAAAAUGCUGAAUUUAUUGCAUUUUGCAUGAGAACACACGGACUGGGCCGUGCAGAGGGCCAUGCCAGCAUAGCAUCCCACUGAGUGGGGGUCUGCAUGUGUUGGGGGCACAAAGCUCUGAGCCCCACUCUUGGUGGGACAGGCAAGCCUUGCUGCAGUGCCAAGAUGGGGCAGGUUGUGUCAGGUCUGCUGGGACAGAUGCUCCCGAAGCAUGGGCAGACCCUGGCGUGGGUGAUGCCCAAGGCUGCCACUUCGCCCAGGAGCUCAGUUUUCCAAAGAAAGGCUCUUACAAGCAAGAGGAGGACCAAAUUUUUACACAGUCCGACAGUGAUAAGACAAGGCAGCAUGAGAGCCAUUGAUCCACACCAAUAAAUGCAAUCCGGCUCGCGCUACACCUGCAGUAGCCUCAGAUUUACUGCAGGGGGUAACCUUCGGCUGCUGAUGCACUGCUGCCGCAGCAAGGCAGGUCGGAGCAGACCUCGGGAGGAGCUGAAGGCUGCUGAAGGAGCGCCGGUGGUUAUAGCGCGGUCCUCAUGUGACAAAAGCGAGCUGCUGGAUAUCCCGGCUUCAGAUGGCUUAAGAAAACGAUCCUUACAUGUAUUAAAAAGGCAGAAAAAAUUCCAGCGUUUAGGGUAGGGUAAUUAAAAUGAUUAUUUUGCGGUAGAGUGCAAAUUAGAGCAUCUCUUUACUGGGGACCCCAGAACAUGACAUCACCCUGAGCAUGAGCACAGGAGCAGCCUGCUGUCCCCAUCUCCCCACUCGGCCACGACCCCACGGAGCACAGCAGCAUGGGCACAGCCACAGGCACGUGCUGGGACCCAUGGGGGGCCUUACCACACAGCACACAGCACACAGCACACAGUGUGGUACCCCCCCAACCACUCCUCUUAUCUGAGCCCACGGAUGGCAGCAGCAACUUAAGAAAAGCUGCUUUUGUUCUAUGCAAGCAACCAAAGACCUUGAACCCUUAUCUGACACAUCACAAGGACGACAGAGAAAGGUGCUUGAAUGCUGGCCAAGCCGUAGGUCUUUUCUGCUCCGUAAAGCACGUGGGUUGCAAGAGCAGCCUGUCUUAGCAUGAACUGCAUGAAAUGCAGGGAAGUUCUGUCGCUUGCACAAAAUCCCCCCCCUGGAGCUGCACAGAACUCACCCUCACAACCCUUCCUGCCCCAUCCCAUUGCUGUGACAUUUAUAAGGAAGGAGCCCGAGGCCGUGCCCGGGUGCCACAGCCCCCACGUGUUGCUCAGGAUCACAGGACAGGUCAGGGAGCGGAGCCGACCUUUCUGCCACGCAGCAGCCGGGCUCGGGUGUUCCUCAGCUCUCUAUUUAUACCAGGCUCCUGUUUACAGCUAUUUUGGCUUUGUCACCCAUUUCGUCUGCUCUUUACGUAACCUUUUUAGCUCUCCUGUGUCUCUGUUUUCUGGGCCGGAGGCACAGCGGGAAGCAAAGAACGCCACGGGGAUGCAGGCAAUAGAGUAGAAGCACCGGGGAAUUCAGGCGGGGAUAACCACGCCGCAAUCCCUCAAAAAGACAAACCCACAAAAAGACAAACGAACGGGCAAACCUGAUCAGACUGCAACGGUAAUUUCGGUGGCAAAAGCAAUGGAGAGCUGCACAAAGCGAUGUUAGCGCAGAACCCUGCAGUUGGAGCCACUGCCACCUGCACUGUGGGCGUCUUUACGUGCAGAAAAUCACCUUCUCGUCCCCGCGCAGGAGGCAGCUACUGAUUUAGGAGAAGAAACACCCCAGCGAGGAGCCCUGCUGAGAGCUCUCUGUGGCCCAACCUCCUGAUUAGACUCGGGUUUGAAACUUUCAUUAGAAAACAAUUAGAGAGAAACCGGAAAUAUCAGGGAGGCUUAAUCAACAGACCCGGGGGAUUUCUUGGCAGCAGAGCAGCCCCAGGCACUGCUGGAAGACUUCUGAGUGAGCUUUUAUGAAAUGAAAGGGGGAGAAAGAUUUCUUUUAAGCAGCACUUCACAGCAAAAAAAAAAAAAAAAGGGCUUUUGACUGAUAAAUCAAUCUGAUUUUUCAAACACAAAGCAAGCAGAUUUCCUGUUCCAAUGCGCGUGAUGGAGCCCGCAGGUGCUGCUGGAGCUGCCUGCAGCUCCUCCACCAACAGGAGGAGCCCCCAAAGCGCUGGCCUUUCCCUCACCCCCCUUUGUUGUUUCUGCAGACCCGACGGCAGCCAAGAGCUGAGAGAACGAACAAACGGGAAUAAAAAUAAGCCCUCAAAGAUAUGCAAAGCAUCCACUAUUUUUUUUUUUUUAAUCCCCCUGCUCGGCCAUAUAUCCAUCAUGUUUCACAGUUCGAACGGCAGAAGGAUUUAGACAGCAACAGCAGCCCAUGUGCAGGCCUGGGCUCAGCAUGACGACACAUGGGCCUGCUGCUAAGUGAGAGAGCCACGGCUUCUUCCCGGAGCCCGGCAGCUCAUCCUGUGUCCAGCUAUGAGCUCAGGGCAGUUUCAGUCCGAACAGCCGGGUCCCUCGUGGGCUGCAGAUGGCCGCACGCCCAUCAAGACCAAACAGAUGCUACAUCAAAUGAAGCGAACCCGAGCGGCUCAGGCCCGGUGACGGAGCGGGUCGUUUUGGGGCCGCAGAGCCCUGCUCACAUCCCUGCUACGAAAGCCUUGGGGUUAGAAAUGAUGGGUUUGACGAAAAGCAUCUCCAGGGAGCGGUGGGAAGAUUUCUCUCUUUCUGGCUCUGCAGUGCCUCAUUGUCACCAAACCUCAUUUAGAAAAGCAGACCCGCACAGCCCUGACAAAUAGGGGGUGCUCCGGAAAGCGGGGGUCUGUGAGCACACGGCUCACACUGCAGACCUCCAUACCCUGCGGCAUCAGCGUCCCUGAGGGCCCCAGCAGCCUGAUAACCACCAGUUUCAUCUGAGCCAAUUAUAGCACAUUAUAAAUAGAGGAUCCUGCUUGUUUGCGAACCGGCAAGAAGCAGGCGGUGGGUUCUGCUUCUGCAAAUAGCACCUGGACCUGGUGAGGGCAGGCUGGCUUCAGGUGUGGGCAUCAGCAGGGCUGGGCUCACUGCUGCUGGGAGCACUGCUGGGGAGGGCCCGGCCUAGGCCUGCCUUGAGCCUUUCAAAUCAGCACAUUUGAAUAAUCACACAUACACAAACAGAUGCUUUUGCAAUGGUUUUAGGCAGGUUCACGGUGUACGAUGCAGAAAGCGAGCAGCUUAUCGGUCCAUUCCCUACAGCUUGAUUCCCACGGAACCAGAGGGCCACAGAUUCACCCUGAGUUCAGUCAGGCUCUCACUUGGAGCCUGGGCAAGGCGUCUUCAUUGCAGAACACUGCAUCCUUUUUCUAACCUUUUAAUACGAUUGAUUUAUCUCUCUUUGUUUUUCAGGUGCAGAGACAGAAAUGCCCGGCGCUAUGUCAGCAGGCAGCACCACACACCACGGGUGCUCUUCCAAAA
ensembl:lncRNA